UUGGGGUAUAGCCAAGUUGGUAAGGCAGUAGAUUUUGAUUCUACGAUUCCCUGGUUCGAGUCCAGGUACCCCAGCCAA
rnacentral:tRNA from 1 species